AUGGGCUUGGCUUCCACAGGUCUUAUCCCAAUUUCAAUCGGGGCUCAAGCCAUAGACCUCUUGACUGGGGAGCCUGGUCCCGUCACUGGAGCUCAAAGGGAUCCCUCUUCCAGAGUGGUGGUGCCCAUUGUCCAGGUGCUGGAGUCCUUACCUCGAGGAGUGAGAGACCCUGGUCUGGUGGUUCAUCGUCUCUCUGAUGAGUUUCGAGGGCUGAUGAGGGAGAGACAGAACUUCCUGGCUAGGGCCCUGGGUCAGCUACGGUACCGACGGGAAUGGAGCCGCCUCCAGAUCCUGCACACCCAGACGACUGCCUCAGGAAGCCCUGUGUGUUUGGAGAAUUACCCUGGACACAUAUUCUAUGCAACAGUCACAACUUCUGUCAGGGACCGGGCCACUGCCUGUCCCGUGUUGAUCCCUUUCCUGAAGCAACUCACUGCAGCUCAAGGGCUGGAGGAUCAGAGGCCAGGAACAGGUCAGGCUGGUCCCUACUCCAGCGUUGCCUCCUGCUGCCAAUCCUGGCCAUGUUUCGUUUCUUUGGGCUAA
rnacentral:lncRNA from 1 species